GAAGGAAGGAAACAAGGACAGAGGAAAGAAGGAAGGAAAGAAGGAAGGAAGGAAGGAAGGUAGGAGGGAGGGAGGAAGGAAGGAAGAAGGGAUAGAAGGAAGGGAGGAAAGAGAGAGGAAGGAAAGAAAGAGAGAAGGAGGGAGGAAGGA